GAGAGAGAGAGAGAGAGAGAGAGAGAGAGAGAGAGAGAGAGAGAGAGAGAGAGAGAAAGAGAGAGAGAGAGAGAGAGAGAGAGAGAGAGGACACAAAUAGCUACAUAGGUUGAAUAAUAACAAGGAAAGAAGAAAACUGAUGGUAUGGAGAGACUAGUGAGAGGAAGACAAGGAUAAAGAAGCAAGAGAGAGAGAGAGAGAGAAUGAGAGAGGCAAACACUUACUCGAAUUGCAUAAAUGUGAAGCCAAGUGUAAACAGAAGGGUGGAAGUGGUAAUAGUUCAAUGGUGUAUGUUUGGGAAGUAUAGUGCCUGUGUAGAAAGUGCCUGAGAGAGAGAGAGAGAGAGAGAGGGAAUGAGAUAGGUAGAAGCAAAUUGUGUGACUAAAAAUGUUGUAGGGAAUUCGAAUAGGAAGUUGAAAGUAAGUGUGAGUAGAGAGCUUUGAUGGAAAAGUAUAAAACAAAGAGGUAAGGUUUUAGUCUGCCAGAAUUACAAUGAACUGUGAGCUGCACCUUUUUCUGUACCUGCUCAUUCUCCAGCAAGGUACGAGUAGAAUUAGUCCAAUUUCUAGACCGUGUUGUGAUGUACUAUUUUGAAACGAUGUAAUAUGAGUGUACUGUCACGGCUGUGUAUGUAGAUAAUGUUUUCUUCCUCCCGUUCAUUUGUAUUCUACCUGAUAAUUCACUUGACAGGACAGUAUUUCAAUUAUGCCACAGAAACAAUUUAAUCUGUUAACUGUCUCGUAUAUUUCUUACUUCUGGUCAGAAUGUUAUGAUGUCCAUGCGAUGUUUAAUGCUACACUCAUUUUUACAGUUUUGUGUAUGGUUUCAUGUGACGUAAUGAGUUUUAUUUUGAUGAGUUGUUUAGUGUCAAGGUGAUGUGAUUGUUUCUGAAUGGCCAACUGUUAUUGUGAAGUGGUGCAGGUGACACGGCCAGCACUCCUACCUGCUGCACAAUUUUAUAUGCUUGCUUUGAUUUUUGUGCACUGUUUUCUCAUUAACUUUUGAGUGCACCUAUGUUUGACAGGGAGCAACACCAUAUAUAUGUGUGUGUGUAUGUGUGUGUGUGUGUGUGUGUGUGUGUGUGUGUGUGUGGUCUUCCAGGUUUGUGUUUUAUUCAGCUCAUCAGUUUAAUAAUUUGUCCAGAAGAGGUAAUCAAAAUGAGUUAUUAUCUUCAUCAGGUUUGCUGGUAACUGUUCUUCUUAAGUAAUGAUGUAAUUGUUCUCUAUAUAUUAUUGUUAUGUUUACUUUUCAUGGUUAGGCAUUUCCAUCCAUAUUGUCAUUCCAGCUGGGCAGACGUCAUGUUGUUUUUUUAUCUUUUUAUUACAGAAGAGCAAAUUGUUUUAUUUCAUCACCACUUUUUGUAGAUGACAUUCUGCCUCAGCCAGAGUCUAAGGCAGGAGUGAGUCUUCAUAACACAAAUAGAUCAAUAUUUAUAAA